GCUUACAUUGAAUGAAAAGCAUAUCUUUUUCUCUCAUUAACUAUGCCUCCUGUAUGUUUUUUUUGACUCUUUGAUACUUCACCUUUUUGCUACUAUGACAAAAAAGGGGGAGAACAUAUGAUAUACCUCUCAUGUAUUUCCAAUUUGAAAUAAUAGAAUUUUUGGAGAAUUGCAAGUAAAGGGAAUCACUAAACAAAAAAAUUUUUAAGCAAAAUGUGAUUUGUUCUUAGUGGAUUCGAUACCUCGAGGUUCAUUAUUCCUCCGUUGGGGCUCCUCUAGGAGUAAUCUCCAGAAUCUAUUCAUAGGAUAUUCAGAGAUUAGUUGAAUCAUAUUCGAGAACAAAUCGUCAGAUUUUCCCUUCUAUAGUUAAGAACUUAAGUUCAAGUUUACAACAUUAAAAGAAAAUUAAGAAAACUUGAACAAAGUUCAAACAAAAUUGAAUGCACAUGUUGAGGGGGCGAAUCUAAAAUUCUAAGAAAGCAAAUUCAUUAAAGAUAUAUAAGCCAAACAAUUGAUUGUAUGAUUUGAAGGCUUAUAUAAUUCCGCAUGAAAGGGAGAGCUUCAAUUUUCAGAAUUUACUGACUCAUAUCCUUCAAUUUUGGAUACACUAAAUAACUAGACAUUUGAAUUCACUUCAAAACUUUACCUUGAAUCAUUUCUUGAAUGAGUAAUUCACUUUACAAAUACUCAAUGUUUUGUCAUCAUCAAAAAGAGGAAGAUUGUGGAGUGAUUAAGUAAAUUCCUAAUUGAUUUUGAUGAGCUCAAAGCAUUUGAGUAUGUCUUAUGUUGUUCUAAUGAAUUCUAUCUAGUGUUUCAGAAAACUUUUUAUUAAAUUCUGUCUAAGUACCUUGAGCUUUGGUUCAGAGUAUUUUGAUUAAGUAUUGAACUCUAUUUGAACCAAAGUCUGCAUCACGAGUCGACUCCUGAAUCUUGCGAGUCGACUUCUGCACACUUGGAGUUUCUGGCACAAGCUCGAGUCGACUCCGGAACUCUUCGAGUCGACUCCAACUGAGAACAGACAGAAAGAUAGAACGAUGAAAUUUGGACCCUGUUAAUGGGUCGACUCCAAAAGGUUGCGAGUCGACUCCGAUGCUUGGCGAGUUGACUCCACAUGGUCCCGAGUCGAUUCCAUGGCAAAGCUGACAAAAAGACAGAAUGUUAGUUUGUGAGACCCUGUGAGCAAGCCGACUCGCAAAGACUUCGAGUCGUCUCCCACAUCAUCCGAGUCGACUCCCAGUUUGUCCGAGUCGACUCCCAA
rnacentral:lncRNA from 1 species